rnacentral:rRNA from 1 species
UACGGAGGGUGCAAGCGUUGUCCGGAAUCACUGGGCGUAAAGGGCGCGUAGGCGGCCCGGUAAGUAGGGGGUGAAAUCCUGCGGCUUAACCGCAGGGCUGCCUUCUAAACUGUCGGGCUCGAGCACGGUAGAGGCAGAUGGAAUUCCCGGUGUAGCGGUGGAAUGCGUAGAGAUCGGGAAGAACAUCAGUGGCGAAGGCGGUCUGCUGGGCCGUAACUGACGCUGAGGAGCGAAAGCGUGGGGAGCGAACAGG